CGGAGGGAUCAUUACCGAGUUUACAACUCCCAAACCCCUGUGAACAUACCACUUGUUGCCUCGGCGGAUCAGCCCGCUCCCGGUAAAACGGGACGGCCCGCCAGAGGACCCCUAAACUCUGUUUCUAUAUGUAACUUCUGAGUAAAACCAUAAAUAAAUCAAAACUUUCAACAACGGAUCUCUUGGUUCUGGCAUCGAUGAAGAACGCAGCAAAAUGCGAUAAGUAAUGUGAAUUGCAGAAUUCAGUGAAUCAUCGAAUCUUUGAACGCACAUUGCGCCCGCCAGUAUUCUGGCGGGCAUGCCUGUUCGAGCGUCAUUUCAACCCUCAAGCACAGCUUGGUGUUGGGACUCGCGUUAAUUCGCGUUCCCCAAAUUGAUUGGCGGUCACGUCGAGCUUCCAUAGCGUAGUAGUAAAACCCUCGUUACUGGUAAUCGUCGCGGCCACGCCGUUAAACCCCAACUUCUGAAUGUUGACCUCGGAUCAGGUAGGAAUACCCGCUGAACUUAAGCAUAUCAAUAAGCGGAGGAAAAGAAACCAACAGGGAUUGCCCUAGUAACGGCGAGUGAAGCGGCAACAGCUCAAAUUUGAAAUCUGGCUCUCGGGCCCGAGUUGUAAUUUGUAGAGGAUACUUUUGAUGCGGUGCCUUCCGAGUUCCCUGGAACGGGACGCCAUAGAGGGUGAGAGCCCCGUCUGGUUGGAUGCCAAAUCUCUGUAAAGUUCCUUCAACGAGUCGAGUAGUUUGGGAAUGCUGCUCUAAAUGGGAGGUAUAUGUC
rnacentral:rRNA from 1 species